rnacentral:tRNA from 1 species
CUGGCUGUAGCGCAGUCUGGUAGCGUGUUUGCUUGGGGUGCAAAAGGUCGAAAGUUCAAAUCUUUCCAGUCAGACCA